rnacentral:rRNA from 1 species
UCAGAACGAACGCUGGCGGCAGGCUUAACASAUGCAAGKCGAACGCCCCGCAAGGGGAGUGGCAGACGGGUGAGUAACGCGUGGGAAUCUACCGUACCCUACGGAAUAACGCAUGGAAACGUGUGCUAAUACCGUAUACGCCCUUCGGGGGAAAGAUUUAUCGGGGUAUGAUGAGCCCGCGUUGGAUUAGCUAGUUGGUGGGGUAAAGGCCUACCAAGGCGACGAUCCAUAGCUGGUCUGAGAGGAUGAUCAGCCACAUUGGGACUGAGACACGGCCCAAACUCCUACGGGAGGCAGCAGUGGGGAAUAUUGGACAAUGGGCGCAAGCCUGAUCCAGCCAUGCCGCGUGAGUGAUGAAGGCCCUAGGGUUGUAAAGCUCUUUCACCGGUGAAGAUAAUGACGG